rnacentral:rRNA from 1 species
CCUACGGGUGGCAGCAGUGGGGGAUAUUGCACAAUGGGGGGAACCCUGAUGCAGCGACGCCGCGUGGGUGAAGAAGCGCCUCGGCGCGUAAAGCCCUGUCAGCAGGGAAGAAAAUGACGGUAUCUGAAGAAGAAGCCCCGGCUAACUACGUGCCAGCAGCCGCGGUAAUACGUAGGGGGCAAGCGUUAUUCGGAUUGACUGGGUGUAACGGGGGCGCAGGCGGCGGUGCGAGCCAGGCGUGAAAGCCCCGGGCCCAACCCCGGGACUGCACCUGGAACUGCGUGGCUGGAGUGCAGGAGGGGCAGGCAGAAUUCCAGGUGUAGCGGUGAAAUGCGUAGAGAUGAGGAGGAACACCGGUGGCGAAGGCGGCCCGCUGGAC